UGGGGAAUAUUGGACAAUGGGCGAAAGCCUGAUCCAGCCAUGCCGCGUGUGUGAAGAAGGUCUUCGGAUUGUAAAGCACUUUAAGUUGGGAGGAAGGGCAGUAAGCGAAUACCUUGCUGUUUUGACGUUACCGACAGAAUAUGCACCGUCUAACUCUGUGCCAGCAGCCGCGGUAAUACAGAGGGUGCAAGCGUUAAUCGGAAUUACUGGGCGUAAAGCGCGCGUAGGUGGUUCGUUGAGUUGCAUGUGAAAGCCCCGGGCUCAACCUGGGGACUGCAUCCAAAACUGGCGGGCUAGAGUAGGGCAGAGGGUGGUGGAAUUUCCUGUGUAGCGGUGGAAUGCGUAGAUAUAGGAAGGAACACCAGUGGCGAAGGCGACCACCUGGGCUCAUACUGACACUGAGGUGCGAAAGCGUGGGGAGCAAACAGG
rnacentral:rRNA from 1 species